GGGGGGGGGGUGUCGCAACGUGUUUUAGAGUUUACAGCUCUGUAUAAACGAACUAAGAUACAAAUUGUGAAGUCUAAUAAAACCACCUUUUCGUGGCCCCACCGACCAUGUCAUUACCAGUCCUAUAUCUUCAGUAUUAUAUUAUCUCAGUCCGUGCUAUGUAUCUAGCUUGAGUUAUCAUUUUCAUGAACAGUGAUAACCAUCAACCCGUUAUAACCAUUAUACCUAAUUAUGAAGAUUAGAGAUCUAACAAUAAUACGACCAACACACAUACGUUAGGUGAACUACUGGACUUGUUAAUUUUUAUUUUCGCGUCUGUCUGCCGUGAGUUGCGUAAUUUCUUUUUAAUUAUUAUUAGUUAUUACUAAACUGACUUCUAGUUUCCCGAUUCACAACUGUUUUUGCGGAUAUUAAAUACGUUAAGCGACGACUGGUGAGUUGUGAUUUACAACGCGACAGGCUACAGUUACUGACGCACAAACAACGCGUAACCUUACCCACAAAUUAUCCUGCCAACGAGUCUGCACUUCGCUAGUUUGUUAUUAUCGGUAGUCUACUAUUGUCGUUCUCAUUGUGUGCCUACGAUUUGUAGUACUUAUAGUUUCAUUUUGUAGUCUUGCACAUUUUCAUUUCGUAUUUGUAAUCGCUAUUCGUUGCUCUUCGCUCUGCAGCCGGCGUGUUUUCAUUUCGAUUAUCGAAGCCGAAGAGCUGUCCCGUACUCACGUUCAUAUACUUAAACAUACCUACAUAGGUAAUCUUGAAUCCAUCAUAGCCACAACAUUUGUUCUGACUGACGGAAAUGGAAUUGUCAUCAAUGGACUCAAGCCUAUCUACUAUUAACGGACAGGAACACGAAGCACCCCAGACCAGAUCCGAUUAUAUAGAUGAUGAGCAAGGAGUUAUAGAUAAAUCAAGAGAUGAUGGUCAGAGAACUGCCUGGUAUAAACUGCACAUCUUAAUUGGCUACUUAGUGUACAAAGUUAAUGCUGUUAAUAUUGGAACUGUGACAAAAAAGUUAUUACAACAUAAUAUGAUAAGAGGUAAACAUAUGUUUUGUCGGUUUAUUAUCUCAGCACAACAUUUUUCGACCACCGAUACACAUGUUUAUGCAACUUUAGUUGCUGUCAUAAAUCUUGUACUUCCAGAGAUAGGAAAAUUAGUCCUGAAAAAAUGCGUCAUACUAUUCCAAAGUACCUUUUUUCGAAAUAAUAUUUUAGAUUGUUCACCUUCUGUAAUGUUUAUUGGACAUUUGAUUAAUCAUGGUGUUGCUGAUGAAAAAUUGGGAAUAGAAAUAUUAAGAAAUCUCCUUGAACAACAUGAUAUAUCCAAUGAUAUAUUCCCUAUUAAAAUAGCUAUUGUACUUUUGAAAAUAUGUGGUAAAAAAAUAAGUGAAGCCCAUAAAGAUCUUUUGACUGAAGUAUUAGAUGAUAUGCUCAUUUUUUUAAAUAAUGAAGAACUUAACGCAGAGGUAAGAAAUGAUGUGAAACUAAUAUUGAUAUUACAAGAAAAUGGAUUCAAAUUUCAACAACUUGAUUUAGUACCAGCUAAUGAGUAUCAAAUCACUCAUUUUCAAACUUUAGAGACAGUUGUAGAUACUGCAUCCGAUAAAAUAAGUUACCAUUAUGAUUCGGAAUUUGAAUUUCAUGAACAAAAGUAUAAGAAUUUGAUAUUAAAAUCUCAAGGAUAUGAUAGUGAAGAAGAAAAUGGAUUGGAAUCUGUAACUGAUUUUAAUAAUCAAUAUGAUGGUGAAAAAGAAUUGAUCAAAGUAAUGAAACAUAUUAAUGACAUAGAAAAAGACACAAACAUGCUAUCAUUAAGAAAGGUGUGUCUAAGAAAGUUGAUAAACUUAACAUACUUGAUGACGGAUUAUACAAAGUUAGUACAACAAAUUGUAAAAUAUUGUCAAGUUAACAUGGACUUAUUUAAUAUGAUCAUUGACUGUUGCUGUGAGCAUUCAACAUAUGAAAAUCAUUUUGGAAAUCUAACGAAAGAGCUUACUGAAACUGAUGCAAGGUUUGCCGAUAUGGUGGAAAUUGCAUUCAUUUACUGCUAUGUAAUUAGUGAUAAGUUUGAUUCACAUAGAACACAAAUUGUUUCUAGUUACUUCGUUCAUUUAUUGGAAUUGGGUUUAAUACCGUCUAAAUUGUUAUCAUUACUGGGAGAAUUAGUUUAUGCUAACACUGACUAUUCUACAAUUUUAUUUCAAAAGCAUAAUGAAUAAUAUGUCGGGGAAAUCCUUAGUGGCAUAUUUUGGAAGGAGUCCCAUAGGUACUUCUAAGUUGGAGGGCCACAGUAAUUUUAUCAUGAUAUUGCAAAAAAAAACUUGGAAAAUCAUUUUUAAGUACCUAUGCUCUGUUCACCCUAAAUUGACCACUUCCACGCAUGUAUACUGGGUCGCCAAAACUUUCAAAUCGCUUGUCUGUGAUUGGUCGGAAGUGUUCGGCGAUCAGUGUUGCUCAUCAUAGUAGGCAGCUGUUGCCGUGCAUACAGCCCACUAGCGCUCUAAAGAAGCGGUGAUAUGCGGGGCCGCAACUUGUUUUCAUCGAGCAAGUGGAUCAACUUACAGUGAACAGAUUUCAGGAAUGAUAUGGAGCUCCAACCCAAAUAUAAGUUUUCAUCUUCAACUACUGAAAUUAUUUACUUAUGAUCCAUUAUCUAUUAUGAGUUAUUAAUAUUUGUUUGAUGUUUAUAAAAAAUGUUU
rnacentral:misc_RNA from 1 species